GGGUCGUUAGCUCAGUUGGUAGAGCAGUUGACUUUUAAUCAAUUGGUCGCAGGUUCGAAUCCUGCACGACCCACGU
rnacentral:tRNA from 1 species